rnacentral:rRNA from 1 species
AUGGAUCCUCAUCCACUUGCUAAUCUCUUUACAAGAUCCAAUUAUGUUGAACCUAUUGCUAGUGAGUUGAGUGCACUAGAUUAUGUUUAUGAGGUUUUGCUUGAAAUUCGUGAAUCUGAAAAUUAUGAUGAAGAAAUUUAUGAAGAGAUUCACGAUAACUCCUUGAAUAAAAAGCAUGAUUUCAAUGAUUUUCCUAUAAAUUCUCUUGAUGUAAAUUGUUCUAAUAAUAUGCAAAACCCUAAGCUUGGGGAUGCUAGUUUUUCUAUGUCUACUACUUGUUUCAAUGAUCAUGAUUGGGGUGAUUCUUCUUACAACCUUGAAAAUUUAUUUAAGCCCCAUGAUGAAUAUGAGAUUAAUAAUAAUGUUUGCACUAAUAUUGAAAGUGGGUUUGGAAGAGUGUCAACUUUAGAUCCCACAUUUUUGGAGUAUGUUCAAUCUUAUGAUAUUUUUGAUAAAAGUGGGUUCGGAAAGGUCAUGACUCUAGCUAAUGUUAUUCCCACUAUCUUGGAAGAGUGUCAACUUUGCAUGCAUGUGGAUCGUGUUGAAAAUAUGUUAUGUGAUAGCUAUUUUGUUGAAUUUGCUUAUGAUCCUACAUGUAAUUAUUAUGAGAGAGGAAAAUAUGGUUGUAGAAAUUUUCAUGUUACUAAAUUACCUCUCGUCUUGUUGAGAUUGCUAUCGUCUCUUUCUUAUUCCUUGCAUAUGCUAGUUUUUGUUUGCCUUGCAAAUUUGUUUGCUUAUAAUAUGCCUAUGCAUAGGAAGUAUGUUAGACUUAGAUGUGUUUGUCACGUGUUUCAUGAUGCUCUCUUUACGCUUCAAUUCUUGUCUUUCUUGUGA